rnacentral:rRNA from 1 species
CAGCCGCCGCGGGAAUACGUAGGUGGCAAGCGUUGUCCGGAAUUAUUGGGCGUAAAGGGCUCGCAGGCGGUUUCUUAAGUCUGAUGUGAAAGCCCCCGGCUCAACCGGGGAGGGUCAUUGGAAACUGGGAAACUUGAGUGCAGAAGAGGAGAGUGGAGUUCCACGUGUAGCGGUGAAAUGCGUAGAGAUGUGGAGGAACACCAGUGGCGAAGGUGACUCUCUGGUCUGUAACCGACGCUGAGGAGCGAAAGCGUGGGGAGCGAACAGGAUUAGAUACCCGAGUAGUCCCUGUCUCUUAUAC